rnacentral:rRNA from 1 species
GAUGAACGCUGGCGGCGUGCCUAAUACAUGCCAGUAGAACGCUGAAGGAAGGAGCUUGCUCUUUCCGGAUGAGUUGCGAACGGGUGAGUAACGCGUAGGUAACCUGCCUGGUAGCGGGGGAUAACUAUUGGAAACGAUAGCUAAUACCGCAUAACAGUAGAUGUUGCAUGAUAUCUACUUAAAAGGUGCAAUUGCACCACUACCAGAUGGACCUGCGUUGUAUUAGCUAGUUGGUGAGGUAACGGCUCACCAAGGCGACGAUACAUAGCCGACCUGAGAGGGUGAUCGGCCACACUGGGACUGAGACACGGCCCAGACUCCUACGGGAGGCAGCAGUAGGGAAUCUUCGGCAAUGGACGGAAGUCUGACCGAGCAACGCCGCGUGAGUGAAGAAGGGUUUCGAAUCGUAAAGCUCUGUUGUAAGAGAAGAACGAGUGUGAGAGUGGAAAGUUCACACUGUGACGGUAUCUUACCAGAAAGGGACGGCUAACUACGUG